rnacentral:rRNA from 1 species
GGUAUAGACCAACAUAGCAUUGAUGCAUUAAAUCCCAUUAAAACUCUACGGUUAAGCAUGCUCGGGCUAGAGUAGUAAUGGGAUGGGUGACUGCCCGGGAAGUACUAGUAUUUUACAUGC